rnacentral:rRNA from 1 species
GACGAACGCUGGCGGCGUGCUUAACACAUGCAAGUCGAACGGAAAGGCCCUGCUUUUGUGGGGUGCUCGCGUGGCGAACGGGUGAGUAACACGUGAGUAACCUGCCCUUGACUUUGGGAUAACUUCAGGAAACUGGGGCUAAUACCGGUUAGGAGCUCCUGCUGCAUGGUGGGGGUUGGAAAGUUUCGGCGGUUGGGGAUGGACUCGCGGCUUAUCAGCUUGUUGGUGGGGUAGUGGCUUACCAAGGCUUUGACGGGUAGCCGGCCUGAGAGGGUGACCGGCAACAUGGGGACUGAGAUACGGCCCAGACUCCUACGGGAGGCAGAAGUGGGGAAUAUUGCACAAUGGGCGGAAGACUGAUGCAGCAACGCCGCGUGCGGGAUGACGGCCUUCGGGUUGUAAACCGCUUUCGCCUGUGACGAAGCGUGAGUGACGGUAAUGGGUAAAGAAGCACCGGAUAACUACGUG